rnacentral:rRNA from 1 species
AACGUAGGAGACAAACGUUAUCCGGAUUUACUGGGCGUAAAGGGCGUGUAGGUGGUUUCGUAAGUCUGGCGUGAAAUUUCUCGGCUUAACCGAGGCAGGUCGUCGGAUACUGCGGAACUAGAGGACGGUAGAGGCGUGUGGAAUUCCGGGUGUAGUGGUGAAAUGCGUAGAGAUCCGGAGGAACACCAGUGGCGAAGGCGACACGCUGGGCCGUACCUGACACUGAGGCGCGAUAGCAUGGGGAGCAAACAGG